rnacentral:tRNA from 1 species
GCGGGCGUAGCUCAGCGGUAGAGCGGCAGCCUUCCAAGCUGCAUGUCGAGGGUUCGAUCCCCUUCGCCCGCU